GUUUGUUUGGAGCUAUAAAGAAUUUAACCUGCCCCCUGAUUAAUUAUUAAAGGGCCGCAGUAUUAUAACUGUGCAAAGGUAGCAUAAUCAUUAGGUUUUUAAUUGAAAUCUCGUAUGAAUGGUUGGACAAAAGAAAAACUCUCUUUGUAUUAAGUUUUGAAUUUAACUUUUAAGUGAAAAGGCUUAAAUAUUCUAAAGGGACGAUAAGACCCUGUAAAACUUUGCAUUGUCAUUAAUUUUAAUUGAAUUUAUGAAAUAAGAAUUUUAUUUGAUUAUUUGUUAUGUUGGGGAGACAUAAGUAAAAAUUUUUUUAACUGCUUUAAUAAUUAUACAGUUAUUAGUGAGUAAGUAGAAGAUCCUUUUUUAAGAUUAAUAGAUUAAGUUACUUUAGGGAUAACAGUGUAAUUUCUUUUGAGAGUUCUUAUCGAAAAAGAAGGUUGCAACCUCGAUGUUGAAUUAAAAUAUCUAUAUAAUGGAGAGGUUAUAUAAGAAGGUCUGUUCGACCUUGAAAUUUUUACAUGAUUUGAGUUCAAACCGGUGUAAG
rnacentral:rRNA from 2 species